rnacentral:tRNA from 1 species
GGAGAGGUGGCUGAGUGGUUUAAGGCGCACGCCUGGAAAGCGUGAGUAGCUAAACACUACCGGGGGUUCGAAUCCCCCCCUCUCCGCCA